rnacentral:rRNA from 1 species
GGCCUAACACAUGCAAGUCGAGCGGUAGCACAGAGAGCUUGCUCUCGGGUGACGAGCGGCGGACGGGUGAGUAAUGUCUGGGAAACUGCCUGAUGGAGGGGGAUAACUACUGGAAACGGUAGCUAAUACCGCAUAACGUCGCAAGACCAAAGUGGGGGACCUUCGGGCCUCAUGCCAUCAGAUGUGCCCAGAUGGGAUUAGCUAGUAGGUGGGGUAACGGCUCACCUAGGCGACGAUCCCUAGCUGGUCUGAGAGGAUGACCAGCCACACUGGAACUGAGACACGGUCCAGACUCCUACGGGAGGCAGCAGUGGGGAAUAUUGCACAAUGGGCGCAAGCCUGAUGCAGCCAUGCCGCGUGU